rnacentral:piRNA from 1 species
UGAAAUCCAAGGAGGGCCAUCUUCAGA